GACGAACGCUGGCGGCGUGCUUAACACAUGCAAGUCGAACGGAAAGGCCCUGCUUUUGUGGGGUGCUCGAGUGGCGAACGGGUGAGUAACACGUGAGUAACCUGCCCUUGACUUUGGGAUAACUUCAGGAAACUGGGGCUAAUACCGGAUAGGAGCUCCUGCUGCAUGGGGGGGGUUGGAAAGUUUCGGCGGUUGGGGAUGGACUCGCGGCUUAUCAGCUUGUUGGUGGGGUAGUGGCUUACCAAGGCUUUGACGGGUAGCCGGCCUGAGAGGGUGACCGGCCACAUUGGGACUGAGAUACGGCCAAGACUCCUCCGGGAGGCAGCAGUGGGGAAUAUUGCACAAUGGGCGGAAGCCUGAUGCAGCAACGCCGCGUGCGGGAUGACGGCCUUCGGGUUGUAAACCGCUUUCGCCUGUGACGAAGCGUGAGUGACGGUAAUGGGUAAAGAAGCACCGGCUAACUACGUG
rnacentral:rRNA from 1 species